CCUACGGGUGGCAGCAGUGGGGAAUAUUGCACAAUGGGGGAAACCCUGAUGCAGCGACGCCGCGUGAAGGAAGAAGUAUUUCGGUAUGUAAACUUCUAUCAGCAGGGAAGAAAAUGACGGUACCUGACUAAGAAGCCCCGGCUAACUACGUGCCAGCAGCCGCGGUAAUACGUAGGGGGCAAGCGUUAUCCGGAUUUACUGGGUGUAAAGGGAGCGUAGGCGGUUUAGCAAGUCAGAAGUGAAAGCCCGGGGCUCAACUCCGGGACUGUUUUUGAAACUGUUGAACUAGAUUGCAGGAGAGGUAAGUGGAAUUCCUAGUGUAGCGGUGAAAUGCUUAGAUAUUGCGCAGAACUCCGAUUGCGAAGGCAGCAUACCGGCGGCGAUCUGACGCUGAGGCACGAAAGCGUGGGUAUCGAACAGGAUUAGAUACCCUGGUAGUC
rnacentral:rRNA from 1 species